rnacentral:rRNA from 1 species
UAACUAAAAACUUACAUACCGCCGUUACAAGAAAUCAUCUAAAAUAUGCACUCAAAAAUAUAAAUAUAAAAAAAUCAGGUCAAGGUGUAGUAAAUAAUUAAGAAUAAAUUAGUUAUAAAUUAAAAAUAUUAAUAGAAUUUAAGCUAAACGCAAAACCAUAAUUAAAAUUUAUAAUCAUAUUUUUAUUUAGCAUAAAUAAUAUAAAAUUAUCAUUAAUAUGCACACAUCGCCCGUCGC